UUGUACUGUGAAACUGCGAAUGGCUCAUUAAAUCAGUUAUCGUUUAUUUGAUAGUACCUUACUACAUGGAUACCUGUGGUAAUUCUAGAGCUAAUACAUGCUAAAAACCCCGACUUCAGGAAGGGGUGUAUUUAUUAGAUAAAAAACCAACGCCCUUCGGGGCUCCUUGGUGAAUCAUAAUAACUUAACGAAUCGCAUGGCCUUGCGCCGGCGAUGGUUCAUUCAAAUUUCUGCCCUAUCAACUUUCGAUGGUAGGAUAGUGGCCUACCAUGGUGGCAACGGGUAACGGGGAAUUAGGGUUCGAUUCCGGAGAGGGAGCCUGAGAAACGGCUACCACAUCCAAGGAAGGCAGCAGGCGCGCAAAUUACCCAAUCCCGAUACGGGGAGGUAGUGACAAUAAAUACUGAUACGGGGCUCUUUUGGGUCUCGUAAUUGGAAUGAGAACAAUUUAAAUCCCUUAACGAGGAACAAUUGGAGGGCAAGUCUGGUGCCAGCAGCCGCGGUAAUUCCAGCUCCAAUAGCGUAUAUUAAAGUUGUUGCAGUUAAAAAGCUCGUAGUUGAACCUUGGGCCUGGCUGGCCGGUCCGCCUCACCGCGAGUACUGGUCCGGCUGGGCCUUUCCUUCUGGGGAACCUCAUGGCCUUCACUGGCUGUGGGGGGAACCAGGACUUUUACUGUGAAAAAAUUAGAGUGUUCAAAGCAGGCCUUUGCUCGAAUACAUUAGCAUGGAAUAAUAGAAUAGGACGUGUGGUUCUAUUUUGUUGGUUUCUAGGACCGCCGUAAUGAUUAAUAGGGAUAGUCGGGGGCGUCAGUAUUCAGCUGUCAGAGGUGAAAUUCUUGGAUUUGCUGAAGACUAACUACUGCGAAAGCAUUCGCCAAGGAUGUUUUCAUUAAUCAGGGAACGAAAGUUAGGGGAUCGAAGACGAUCAGAUACCGUCGUAGUCUUAACCAUAAACUAUGCCGACUAGGGAUCGGACGGGAUUCUAUAAUGACCCGUUCGGCACCUUACGAGAAAUCAAAGU
rnacentral:rRNA from 1 species